rnacentral:lncRNA from 1 species
GACCUCACACGGUAACGAAAAUCUUUGUUUUGUCCACAUAACGUCAAUGUGUACCUCAAUCUAAACAUAAUUGUUGUUUUAAGAAAUGAUUUGGUCGUAGGUUGAUGAUUAGAGAUGUCUCAUUAUUUUCCCAAAACAAGAACGAUUACUAAAAACAUGUGCAAAUACUUGUCAAAGAAGUUGGCACUCGUCUCAUUCGAUAUAAUUCUAUAUUCAUUGCAACUCAUUUUCUGAUAGAAGGCCACUGUGUUUGUGUAAUAAGUAUAGUUGUAUCAAUAAUUGGCAUUGAAAUCUUUCAUGCAUAUGUUUU